rnacentral:rRNA from 1 species
GAUGAACGCUGGCGGCGUGCGUAAUACAUGCAAGUAGAACGCUGAAGCUUGGUGCUUGCACCGAGCGGAUGAGUUGCGAACGGGUGAGUAACGCGCAGGUAACCUGCCUCUUAGCGGGGGAUAACUAUUGGAAACGAUAGCUAAUACCGCAUAAAAGUCGAUAUCGCAUGAUAUUGAUUUGAAAGGUGCAAUUGCAUCACUAAGAGAUGGAUCUGCGUUGUAUUAGCUAGUUGGUGAGGUAACGGCUCACCAAGGCGACGAUACAUAGCCGACCUGAGAGGGUGAUCGGCCACACUGGGACUGAGACACGGCCCAGACUCCUACGGGAGGCAGCAGUAGGGAAUCUUCGGCAAUGGGGGCAACCCUGACCGAGCAACGCCGCGUGAGUGAAGAAGGUUUUCGGAUCGUAAAGCUCUGUUGUAAGAGAAGAACGAGUGUGAGAGUGGAAAGUUCACACUGUGACGGUAACUUACCAGAAAGGGACGGCUAACUACGUGCCAGCAGCCGCGGUAAUACGUAGGUCCCGAGCGUUAUCCGGAUUUAUUGGGCGUAAAGCGAGCGCAGGCGGUUAGAUAAGUCUGAAGUUAAAGGCUGUGGCUUAACCAUAGUACGCUUUGGAAACUGUUUAACUUGAGUGCAGAAGGGGAGAGUGGAAUUCCAUGUGUAGCGGUGAAAUGCGUAGAUAUAUGGAGGAACACCGGUGGCGAAAGCGGCUCUCUGGUCUGUAACUGACGCUGAGGCUCGAAAGCGUGGGGAGCAAACAGG